AUCCCUGUUAUUAUAUUUUAUUUGUUUAUUAUAUGGAGAUGUGGGAGAGGAAUCCUUGGAUGGAAAUACUGAAAAAUGCUGAUCUUCCUAUUGGAGGAAAGCUUCUGUUUUGCUUGCCUUGGGUGCUGGAUCAAGGUAUUAAAACAGCAGUGGAGCAGCAGAUGCUAUACCUUGCAUAUUGCUAAAGAUGCUACCUACGCAGUUCCUAAAAACACGAGCCCUUCUAAUGGGAAGAAGCAGAAAAACUCCCAUUGACUUCAGUUGGGUAUAGAUUUCAGGUGGCAAACAGAGUGGUGGUACUUUCUGGUUUACAGUAGCUUUGACUUCUCUUUUGUACUUUAUAAAACAGUUACAUUCCGUAUAUAAAAGUGUCUGCUUUGCAUUAAAAGCAAGUUUUCUUUUUAAGCAAGUUGAAUAAACCUCCUUUAAAUAGAUGAGACUGUUGGUACCGGGAGCUGUGACUUAGUGUAUAUUCUUUCAACAUUUUCAAAUGCUCAUUACAAUUCCUACUUAUUUUAUAGCAAUAUCACACAAUAAACAUUUCUUUUCUGAUUAAGGGAUUGAAAGAGAACUGAAUUAUAAACAGUAUUAAUAUAAAAGGGAAUUUCUAUCCGGUGCUCUGUAGGCCUGAGUUUAUUUGACCUUAAACAAUCAGUCAGAAGAAGUCACAUCAGCUGCUGUACACAUUCCACAUUACGGAGGAAUUAAAUUAAGCAGCUUUAAUAUCUGUGAAAUGGCACAGGACUGAAAGAGAAUCGUUCCAAUUUAUGGAAUUUGUAUCUGAUUUACUAGUGCAUGUCUAGCAAUUCCAGAGCCACCAAUUGCUUUAAGACCACCUCCAAAGUGUUUUUAUCACUUACAGUAAAUGUGCUAACAUCGUGUUUUAAUUAAACAUUUAAAGUGCAUCAAACAAAUUUAUUGAUGCCGCCAGAAGAGGCAAAAAGGAAGGCAAAAAAAAAAAAGAAGAAUUUCUCCUAUUUGCAAAAUGCCCUGGUGUACGCAUGAUGGUGUGACCCUGCUAAGACUGCCCUCAAACAUUCCAGCUAAUGUCUAUAAAUUAGCAACUGCUUCCCCUCCCCUCCAGUCCCUCGUUUUCCAUCCCCAACCCCCCAAAUCAUACUUUGUGCAUAAAAACAUGGCAAGAGCUUGUUGAAAGCCAUUCAGCUAUAAUAUCAAAUGGUUGUGAACACUGCAUUUAUUUUUGCUCCUUGAACGCAGGCCUGAUAUUGAAAUGAUAUAAAAGUCCCAACAGCGCUUUAUAUUGAUGUUGGCAUUAAAAAUGCUUUUUCUGUUAGUGAGAGAGAAGUUUCCCCCUUAAAAAAAAUAAAAGCCAAUACCGGGCCUAUCAAAACUUUAUCAUCCUGUUACCACUUGGGCACAGUAUUAAAUAUUCAGAACUGGAGCUGGUUUUCAUUAGAAAUCCUUUUCCCUUCUGCACUGGGGAUCGCAGACCCGCAACGGGUCCAGAAUUCCUACAAUCCUUUAAAAAAGAGGAAAGUAGGCAUGGCAUUGCCAUCACCUGCAAAGACAUGCUUGGAUUUCAGCCCCAAGCUCGCAGGACUGAUGCGGGGUGGCAGGGGCAGAGGUUGGCCUGGGAGCACCGCCGGCCUCACCACCUCCUCCAGUCCUGCUCAUUGCUGCAGGAUGGGGGACCUCAGGGAAUGUGGCCCAACGGUUCAGUGCGGAGAGGCAAUCUGCAGAGGGCUACGUGAUGAUUUAUGCUUUAUGGCACCAAAACUACGGGCAUGUUUUUUGUGUGCAUAAUAUAGCUUGGGUUUCCUUAGGAGGGGAAGAGUAUUUUGUCUUCCUGAGUAACCAUUUGUUUUAGAGACUGAUGAUGGUGGCAGGUUUGCCUUCUUACAUAUCCAUUCUCACAUAUAUCUGUUGUUGUAUUUAGCUGUUCUCUCAUAUGCAGUGGGUCAUAAUAUGAACAGAAAGCAUAUUUCUGUACCAAACAGACGUACGCAUGCUGGUGCCUAGAGAUAGGUGUCUAAGCAGUUCUUGUUGAGGUCAGUUGCCUGCUAACAAGCUGGUAUACAAAUGUAAAGUGCAUUUCAUUUUUAUUAUGUUAUAUUACAUAUCAUCUUCGAUUGAAUUUGCUCCGUUUGUUCAAACCCAAUAACUGUAAACAUCACGUGGCUGGAGAGGAAACAAGCAAGGAACCCGAUAGCUGCUGGAUCUGCCAGGAAACUGGCAAGGCAGAACUCAGAAUGCUGUGGCACAGCUGAGAAUGGCUAUUGCUGGGAGACUGUGCCUUUUAUUCAGAGAAAAAAAUAAAUGAGGGUGAGUAAUGUUAUCUCUAGGGAUCACAAUCCUUAUUUUUGCACGCCAUUCGGUCACAGACUGUGUGAAAGAUAGCGUGGUGUCCAACACAGCGGGACAAGUGUCUUAAUGGUGGUUAUUCACUGAUAUCCUUUGUGAUCUCCUGUCCUGCACUGACUCAUCCCAGCUUGCAGGAGACAAUCCCAACGCAGGGUGUUUCAUGGUUACCUCGUGGUCCACGUCUAUUUUUGUAUCUGUUGUCUCCUGCUUUAUACUUAGCUCUUCAGGCAUUCUAGAAUUUGGUAUAAUGGAGCCCAAUCAAUGAUGUGAGCUACUGAGCAAGUAACACAGCGUGAAUAUGGGGAAAUAAUUGUGUCUUUCAGCAGGAAGGUGGAGCCAUUUUUCUAGAGAAAAGAAAUAAAGGCCUCAGAAGAAGGAUGCAGCAUUUCUCCUCACAUCGCUUUAUCUUGGAUGAUUUACCAUUGUGUUCUAGGGGAGUGAUUUUCAAAAAGAAUGAAUUUUGCAUUAAAUCCCGAGUAUGGUUGCUGCAGAAGAGAAGAUAUUUGCCUAUUCAGAUGAUGAGCUGGAUGCAUAAGUGAUCGCAUCAAUGGGUAAUGUGCACAUUCACUCAUGAGGAAAAAAUUUGCAUGCCCUAUAAAGACCUAAAAGUUGAACAUCUGGCCUUUUCUGUGGCACCUCAAUUUUGCAUCAAUGUCUUCUAUUCCUUGAAAGGUUUAUUCCUAAAACCGUCAGAUCAUCACAGUCUUGAUACAACAUUCACUGCACACUGUUGGUAAAUGAGCCGAGCUCAGCUGUGGUGGAAUGACUAAUUGUUUUGCAUUAGAGAUGUUACGUUCACCAGGAAGUCCUGGAGUUGUGCAUGGCUGGACAUGCAUGGCAGAAAGACUGGUGCUGUUCUUCUGCCGUGCACGAGGGACUGAGGACACACUGCUUUGUUAUAAUGGAAAAUUCAUUCAACUUCUGCAGCGUAGAACUCUUUUCUUCUAUCUAGCUCUUCGAUAUUGCAAAAAUACAUAGUUAUUACCAGUGUGAACCAGGAGAAAAGUCUUUGGCCCUGCCUGUGGCUGGGGGGUUGGAACUUGAUGAUCCCCGGGGCCCCUUCCAACCCAAGCCAUUCUAUGAUUGUGUGUUUCUGUGAAAAGAAGCAUGCUAAAAGUGAUACAAAGUAAGAUAUCUUUCCUCUCAGCUUUGCCCUGCUGCCUGUACACCCAACUGAAGUCCCAUCCCUCUGGUUCCUGCUAGGAUUCUGGGAAAGCCCAAGCCUGUACUACCUGUCCGUAACACUGAAUAUUGUGAUAUUAUUUUUUCUGUGCUAUUGCCUUGCAAGCACGGAGUGAAAAUUGCACCUAACCAGAAAGACUGGUGGACCAGGCACUUCUCUUGUGUCUGCUGCUACCUGGCUGCUGAUGCAGAUCGUUGGUUUGCUGUGGGCGUUCACUCCUCUUCCACAUCUCAUUGCCUUUAUUUUUGUAAUUUCGCCCUUGCCCCAACCACUCCAAAUCCAGUUUGGGUUUGGACUGCGCAGCUCUGAUUAUGAGUCACAGCAAUAUUCUCACACAUCCCGGUAUAUUAGUUAGGGGACCUGUGAAACAGCAGUAGGACAGAAAGUUAUUAGUUGAAAUUCCCAAAUGAAGGCGCAAGUGCUGAGGAACUCGCUCUGCUUUUAUUUGCCCCAGCUGAGGCAGAAAUCUCGUGCAGCAUGAAUAAAUUGUUACCUGCUAGCUAAGAGAAGGGAGUUAUCCGCUGGGUUACAGCCAUCAGACUUACACUCCGGGUGCAACCUAAGGGGCUCUCCGCUUUCAGACUUGCGGCCCAGUUUUGCAAGACUGCAACUUAGGAAAUUAAAUCUUAUCAAUCUUGAAGCACUUUUUCUCUGGAAGUAAGGGCCCGAGCGCACGGAGAUCCCUCGGAUGGGUUUUGGUCGCAGGACGAGUGGUGGGCUUAAAAUUAAAGUUACAAAGAAGCCAGUGCUUCUGAUGGCUUCUGGCCCUGCCAGCUGCUGGCAGAUGCUAAAUAAGGAGGGCCCAGGUGCUGCUAGAAGCAAGUGAUGGGGAAGAUAACAAGGGGGGUUACCAGCCAUUCCCUCCCAUGCAGAAAAG
ensembl:lncRNA